UACGUAGGGCGCAAGCGUUGUCCGGAAUUAUUGGGCGUAAAGAGCUCGUAGGCGGUUUGUCACGUCUGCUGUGAAAUCCCGAGGCUCAACCUCGGGCCUGCAGUGGGUACGGGCAGACUGGAGUGCGGUAGGGGAGAAUGGAAUUCCUGGUGUAGCGGUGGAAUGCGCAGAUAUCAGGAGGAACACCGAUGGCGAAGGCAGUUCUCUGGGCCGUAACUGACGCUGAGGAGCGAAAGCGUGGGGAGCGAACAGG
rnacentral:rRNA from 1 species